GCCAUGAUCGUAUAGUGGUAAGUACUCUGCGCUCUGGCCGCAGCAGCCUUGGUUCGAAUCCGGGUCACGGCA